GUCAAAACUAAAAACUGAACCAUGAGUGCCCUGACUAUACCAAUGGAAAAAAGAAAAGGGUUAUUGGUUGGCCUCAUUCUUACUUCUGGGCUCAGAUCUAUAAUUUAUCUCAGGCAUCGACACUGUCAUGGCUGCAAACCCUAUAAUAUCGGUCGCCCUGCCAAGAUAGGGGCCUGAAACAACAAUGCCUGAUUCCAUUUGUUCAGUAAAAUAAUCAUCACAG
rnacentral:misc_RNA from 1 species